CCUAUCUGCCGUGGGCGCUGGAGAACUGAGGGGGGCUGCUCCUAGUACGAGAGGACCGGAGUGGACGCAUCACUGGUGUUCGGGUUGUCAUGCCAAUGGCACUGCCCGGUAGCUAAAUGCGGAAGAGAUAAGUGCUGAAAGCAUCUAAGCACGAAACUUGCCCCGAGAUGAGUUCUCCCUGAGACUUAAAGUCUCCUGAAGGAACGUUGAAGACGACGACGUUGAUAGGCCGGGUGUGUAAGCGCAGCGAUGCGUUGAGCUAACCGGUACUAAUGAACCGUGAGGCUUAACCUUACAACGCCGAAG
rnacentral:rRNA from 2 species